GAACUAAAUCUAUCCAGGUCAAUCCACACGACUGUAGUGCUCCCAUCUUCCCAGCGAUUCUGGCGAUGCUACCGUCGUUCUCAGCGGCGGUCCCGUCAGCCCCACCGGUGAUGCUCCCCUCGACCCCAACGGAGGCUGCCCCUUGAACCCUCGCAUCACACGCUCGCUGGUCCUCUCGGCCUAAGCGACGGCAGCGGCGGCUGCCCUCAUUCCGCUGCCCCUUGAACCCUCACAUCGUCCGCGCUAGAUCCACCACCGAGAAACCACUAGCCACCGUUGCCCCCGUUCCGCUUCCCCGAGAGCGAAGACAGUGUCGGUGGAGAGGCAGCGGCGCGGUGGAGGCACAGUGCCGACGAUGGAUCUGACGCGCAUUGGAGUGGUGGUGGACGGGGACCGUGGUGGCUGGUGAUUUCUCGGUGGAGGGGCGGCGACACGGUGGAGGCAGAGGGCCAGCGGCAGAUCUAGUGGCGAGGGCGGCACGGUGGGGUGGCAGCGCAUAUCUGGCGGACGGCGGCGCGGUGGACGCGCAGGGCCAGAGGUGACGUUUUGCUUGGAUCUAGCAGACGGCACGGUGGAGCGACGGUGGAUGUGCAGGGCCGGAGCUAGCGCGGGCGGUGUGGUGAAGGGGCGACGGCGCGGUGGAGGUGCAAGGGCGACUCGUUGCAAGGGUGGAGACGUGACUUGUGGGAGAGCAGACUCAAGUUGAUCCCAACCUUUGAUUUCAAGAUGGAUUGAUAUGUACAAUUGGAUAUAAGAGGUGUGCUAUAUAGUACUGGCAUCGUCAACUGAUACAAGCUUUUGCACCACACAUUCCAUGCACAAAAGGCGGACCAAAUCAGACUGAGGAGAACGAGCCGAGAAGCGAGUUUGCAACCUUCUCUUUUUUUUAUUCUGGGUCUGCAGCGUUGGAGUUGAUAUCCUUCCCAGAAUCAAAGAGUUGUUAGAAGAAGCGACUGGCUGGUGGUCACCAAGGGAAGUGGUGGGCAAGUUGGAACAGCAGGUUUGAACUUUGGUGAAAAAUAGGCAUUUGAACUAGUACGGGCACACGUAUAAUGUAUGUAUAUGGCUUAAAAUCAGGUUGUGCUGGCAUGCAUGUAACUGUUCGACCGUUCAAUGAUCAGUUCAUGGAGUAGUAAAUGAGGGGGGAGGGGGGGGGGGACUAGUUGGUUCAUUUUCGUGGAGAUGGCAAUAUAUGCGAGAGAGACUGAUGUUAUGUUGUUAACUAACCCCAUCGUAAAUAUAUAAUAUUUAGGAUAAGAUUUAAUCAAAAUCUUCAUCAAUAGUUUGGCAU